AUAUAGGUCAAGCUACAAAGGGCGCAUGGUGAAUGCCUUGGCAUCAGGAGCCGAUGAAGGACGUGAUAAGCUGCGAUAAGCUUCGGGUAGGCGCACAUAGCCUGAGAUCCGAAGAUCUCCGAAUGAGGAAACUCACAUGGGAAACCCCAUGUAUCAUUAAGUGAAUACAUAGCUUAAUGAAGGUAACCCAGGGAACUGAAACAUCUAAGUACCUGGAGGAAGAGAAAGAAAAAUCGAUUUUCUUAGUAGCGGCGAGCGAAAGGGAAAGAGCCCAAACCGGAAACUUGUUUCCGGGGUUGUGGACAUAGCAUAAAAGUGGAGGCUAUUGUAACUGAAGAGAACUGGAAAGUUCCACCGUAGAAGGUAAUAGUCCUGUAAGUGAAACGAGAAGACCACGAGUUAUGAUCCAGAGUACCACGAGACACGUGAAACCUUGUGGGAAGCAGGGAGGACCACCUCCCAAGGCUAAAUACUACCUGAUGACCGAUAGUGAAGCAGUACCGUGAGGGAAAGGUGAAAAGAACCCCGGGAGGGGAGUGAAAUAGAACCUGAAACCGUGUGCCUACGACCGCUCAGAGCCCCUUAUGAGGGUGAUGAGGUGCUUUUUGUAGAACGAGCCAACGAGUUACGGUAUGUAGCAAGGUUAAGUACUUAAGGUACGGAGCCGAAGGGAAACCGAGUCUGAAUAGGGCGACUAGUUGCAUGCCGUAGACCCGAAACCGGGUGACCUAUCCAUGGCCAGGUUGAAGCGAGGGUAAAACCUCGUGGAGGACCGAACCACGUUGCUGUUGAAAAAGCAUGGGAUGAGCUGUGGAUAGCGGAGAAAUUCCAAUCGAACCCGGAGAUAGCUGGUUCUCUCCGAAAUAGCUUUAGGGCUAGCGUCGAGUAUGAGUAGUGGAGGUAGAGCACUGAAUGGGCUAGGGGGCAUAGCGCUUACCGAACCUUAUCAAACUCCGAAUGCCACAUACUUUGAGCUCGGCAGUCAGACUACGAAUGAUAAGAUCCGUGGUCAAAAGGGAAACAGCCCAGAUCGUCAGCUAAGGUCCCAAAGUGUAAGUUAAGUGGGAAAGGAUGUGAGAUUUCUAAGACAACUAGGAUGUUGGCUUAGAAGCAGCCAUUCAUUAAAAGAGUGCGUAAUAGCUCACUAGUCGAGAGAUCUUGCGCCGAAAAUGUAACGGGGCUAAACUUACCACCGAAGCUACGGGCUUGAACUUAGUUCAAGCGGUAGGAGAGCGUCGUAACCGGGCUGAAGUCGUACCGUAAGGAGCGGUGGACUGGUUACGAGUGAGAAUGUUGGCAUCAGUAGCGAGAUGUGGGUGAGAAUCCCACAGGCCGAAAACCUAAGGUUUCCUCAGGAAGGUUCGUCCGCUGAGGGUUAGUCGGGACCUAAGCCGAGGCCGAAAGGCGUAGGUGAUGGACAACUGGUUGAUAUUCCAGUACCACUACCAUCGUUAUUAUCGAUGGCGUGACGCAGGAGGAUAGUGUGUGCUAGCUAUUGGAUGCUAGUCUAAGCGUUUAGGCAGUGAGAGUAGGCAAAUCCGCUCUCAUAAUGCUGAGGCGUGAUGGGGAAGGUUCUACGGAACCGAAGUACAUGAUUCCACGCUGCCAAGAAAAGCGUCUAGAGAGAGAAGUAGUGCCCGUACCGCAAACCGACACAGGUAGGUGAGGAGAGAAUCCUAAGGCCGGCGGAAGAAUUACAGUUAAGGAACUCGGCAAAUUGACCCCGUAAGUUCGCGAGAAGGGGUGCCUACGAGAGUAGGCCGCAGAGAAUAGGCCCAAGCAACUGUUUAGCAAAAACACAGGUCUCUGCUAAAGCGUAAGCUGAUGUAUAGGGGCUGACGCCUGCCCGGUGCUGGAAGGUUAAGGGGAACACUUAGCGCAAGCGAAGGUGUGAACUUAAGCCCCAGUAAACGGCGGCCGUAACUAUAACGGUCCUAAGGUAGCGAAAUUCCUUGUCAGGUAAGUUCUGACCCGCACGAAUGGCGUAAUGACUUGGGCACUGUCUCAACUGUAAAUCCGGCGAAGUUGUAGUGCGAGUGAAGAUGCUCGCUACCCGCGAUUGGACGGAAAGACCCCGUAGAGCUUUACUGUAGCUUAGCAUUGAGUUUUGGUAUUGUCUGUACAGGAUAGGUGGGAGACUAGGAAACCAGGGCGUCAGCCUUGGUGGAGUCAACCUUGGGAUACCACCCUGACAGUACUGAAAUUCUAACUGGCGGCCAUGAAUCUGGUCACAGGACAUUGUUAGGUGGGCAGUUUGACUGGGGCGGUCGCCUCCUAAAAAGUAACGGAGGCGCCCAAAGGUUCCCUCAGAACGGUCGGAAAUCGUUCGAAGAGUGCAAAGGCAGAAGGGAGCCUGACUGCGACACCCACAAGUGGAGCAGGGACGAAAGUCGGGCUUAGUGAUCCGGUGGUACCUCGUGGGAGGGCCAUCGCUCAACGGAUAAAAGCUACCUCGGGGAUAACAGGCUGAUCUCCCCCAAGAGUCCACAUCGACGGGGAGGUUUGGCACCUCGAUGUCGGCUCGUCGCAUCCUGGGGCUGAAGUAGGUCCCAAGGGUUGGGCUGUUCGCCCAUUAAAGCGGCACGCGAGCUGGGUUCAGAACGUCGUGAGACAGUUCGGUCCCUAUCCGUCGCGGGCGUAGGAAAUUUGAGAGGAGCUGUCCUUAGUACGAGAGGACCGGGAUGGACUGACCUCUGGUGUACCAGUUGUUCCGCCAGGAGCACAGCUGGGUAGCUAAGUCGGGAAUGGAUAAACGCUGAAAGCAUCUAAGCGUGAAGCCAACCUCAAGAUGAGAUUUCCCAUAGCGUAAGCUAGUAAGAUCCCUUGAAGAACACAAGGUUGAUAGGUCGGGGGUGUAAGCAUGGUAACAUGUUCAGCUGACCGAUACUAAUAGAUCGAGGGCUUGACCAAAU
rnacentral:rRNA from 1 species